AGAAGAUGGAUUGAGGGCUGGAGUGGUAAUCUGGAUUCACCUUGUUACCAGAGCACUGUAUGAAGAUGCCUUUUGAGGUAUCUCUGUGUAUGUUGAGAGUUAAUGACAAGACCACCAUCUACAGCGGGUUAUCCCUCUAAAGAAUUACCAGGAAGAAGAGCCCGCUAUCCCCCUUCUGUAUGGCAGCGCACAGGAAAAAUUGGUUUGCCAUCAUACAGCAAGAACAUAAAGAGACAACAGGCAAAAACUGGUAUUCCUGAGUAAGAGGUGAAUCUCGCUUGGCAUCUGAUCUGAACCUCACAACUAAAAUAUCAAAGUGAUCAGCAUUCUUUAGUAUUUUUAUCCUCCUUUUGAGACUGGAUACUUUUUCCCUGUCUUACAGAACUGUGUUACAGCAAAAUUAAGACACCUCUCACAUUUACUAGACCGGAGCCUGCUGUAGAUUUACAUUAUCGUACUGUCCUAACAACUUUGUGGACUGCGUAUAUGCACUCUAAUUAAAGCCUUUGAACCUCCUUCUGCAUGGAAUUACUUAGGCAUCCCUGAAAGCUACAAUUCUGUAGACAACCAUAUCCCCAUGGAGACAGAAAUAAAUUUUUUUACACCACUGAACCAUCACAGCUCUGCUAUGCUUUUACAAAGCAAUACUUUGAAUUUGCAGACCAGGAAUGCUAUGCAUUUUUCUCACAAAUGGCAACAUCAUUGGAAAGGGCCUUUAUUGACAACAUCAACAUGUUCUUUCUAUGAGAACCAUGACCUUCAAAUACACUUCCAGCAGUAGUAUUAGAAUGGACGAUAGCUUCUGAUUUAUCAUUGCUGGAGAAAAUUCUCAACUGUAUUUUCACAGUCAGCUCACCAUAAAUCCUAGUUGUGUUCAUCCCCCUGCAAAGUAACUGGAGCAGAAGCUGU